ensembl:lncRNA novel transcript, antisense to NBEA
GUAACCCAGGCUGGAGUGCAGUGGUGACAAUAUCGCUCACUGCAGCCUCAACCUUCUGGGCUCAAGUGAUCCUUCCACCUUAGCCUACUGAAUAGCUGGGACCACAGGUGUGCACCACUAUGCCUGGCUAAGGUUUUCAUUUUUUUAGAGACAAGAUCUCACCAUGUUGCUCAGGCGGGUCUCAAACCCCUGGGCUCAAGCUAACCUCCUGCCUCAGCCAAUCAAAGUAUUGGGAUUAUAUGAGUGAGCCCCCACACCUGGCCUUGUUUGGCUUUUCUACAUAGGACUUUAAAAAUCCAAUUUAAGGAACACAAUAUAUGAAAGUAGAGCCAGGCACAGUGGCAUGUGACUCUAGUCACUCUCAACUACUUGGGAGGCUGAGGUGGGAGGAUCCCUUAAACCCAGGAGUUUGUGUCAGGCCUGGGCAACAUAAUGAGACCUUGUUUUUUUAAAAAGGGAAGUACAAUACUGCCUAUAUCUUACUGAACUGAAAAGUACAGUUAUAAUAUUCUUCCUUAUUUUGUGCUGUAACUUCCACCCAAUUAUCUUACUUGUGUCCUCUGGAAGGUCAUGUAUACAUAUUAAUAUUCUCCUUGCUAUAAACGACAGGCUUCUUAGAGGAAACUAUUAUAUCCUACUUCAUCCCCAUCUCUACCAUCCAAAUUAGACUCCUUAGUUGGGUACACUAGCCUCAGUUCUUUCAAGUCACAUGGCAUGGUUUCUAUAUCAUUUAUGAAUCUUGCCUAUCAUCCAAAGUAUUUGCUGUUCAGUUUGUCAACUGUAGAAAGAUUUUUAAUUCCAUUGUGUCAAAAAAUCUUUGUAUUAUUUUAAUCCUUUUAAAUUUAUUGAGGCUUGUGUUAUGGCCUGACAUAUGGUUUAUCCUGGAGAAUGUUCCAUGUGCACUAAGAAAUUUUGCUGUUCUUGGGAGUGUUCUGCAGAUGUGUAUUAGGUCUGGUUGGUUUAUAGUGUUGUUUGAGUCUUCUAUUUACAGAUGUGCCCUGACUUAUGAUGGUUUGACUUAUGAUUUUUUGACUUUACAGUGGUGCAAAAAUGAUACAUAUAAAAUACACUCCUCAAUUUAUGAUGGGUUUGUCAGGAUGCAACACCCUUGUAAAUUGAGGAGCAUAUGUCCUUGUCAAUCUUACAUCUAGUUAUUGUCUUCAUUAUUGAAAGCGGGGUAUUGAAGUUUCCAACUAUUAUUGGAUAAUUUAAUAUUUCUUUUUUCAAUUCUAUCUGUUUUCGCUUUAUGGACAUUGGGCUUUGUUGUUAGGUGCAAAUAUAUUUAUAAUUGUUAUAACUCCCCUAUAAGCUAAUCUUUUUUGAUUACAAAGUGUUUCUCUUUGUAUGUAGUGGCUUUAUUUAGUGUAAAAGUCUAUUUUAUCUGAUAUUAUUGUAGCCAUCUCUAGGUCUUUUAUGGUUGCUGUUUGUGUGCAUAUCUUUUUUUAUCUUUUUAUUUUCAACCUAUCUGUAUCUUUGAACCUAAACUGGGUCAAAACACAUAGUUAACAGCAUCUGGUUGUAUGUAGAGAGCACAGAGUUGGAUCUUAUUUUUAUUUUAAUUCAGUCGACAGUCUCUGAUUUUUUUUUCUUUUCUUUUCUUUUUUUUUGACAGAGUCUCACUCUGUUGUCCAGUCUGGAGCACAGUGGUGUGGUCACAGCUCACUGCGGCUUCAAUCUCUAUGGGCUCAGGUGAUCCUUCCACCUAAGCCUCCUCAGUAUCUGGGACUACAGGAAUGUGCCACUAUAUCCAGCUAAUUUUUCUAUUUUUUGUAGAGAUGGAGUUUUGCCAUGUUGCCCAGGCUGGUCUCAAACUCCUGUGCUCAAGUGAUCCAUCCAUCCCAGCCUCUCAAAGAGCUGAAAUUACGGAGCCACUGCACCUGUCUCUGAUUUUUUAUUGGACUGUUUAAUCCAUUUACAUUUAAUGCUAUUAUUGAUAUGGUUGGAUUUACAUCUGAUAUUUUGCUUUUCGUUUUCUGUAUCUUUCAUAUCUUUUUUGUUCACCUCUUCCUCCUUUACUGCCUUCUUUUGCCAUUCCUUCACUUGUUUUUUAACUACAUCUAUUUAGUUAUUUUAUUAGCGAUGGCUCUAGGGCUUACAAUAUAUUAGACUACAGAUUUAUUUUUCAAAAAUUUAGAUCUUAUUUGCUUACCCACAGGAUUUGAGGCAGACUUGACUUUUUCCCUUAAGUCUUAAUCACAUUUUUGUUACCAUUGUUGAUCAGAAGGUGCCAAGCAAAAUUCUCUAAUAUUUUGCUCUCAUCUAGUCUUCUGACAUAUCUCACUGUCUCUGUAAUUCCUCAACAAUGAUUGGUCCUUCAAUCAAACCUCCAAAUUCUGUUAGUACCC